rnacentral:rRNA from 1 species
UACGUAGGGGCUAGCGUUGUCCGGAAUCAUUGGGCGUAAAGCGCGUGUAGGCGGUUCGGUAAGUCCGCUGUGAAAGUCGGGGGCUCAACCCUCGAAUGCCGGUGGAUACUGUCGGACUAGAGUACGGAAGAGGCGAGUGGAAUUCCUGGUGUAGCGGUGAAAUGCGCAGAUAUCAGGAAGAACACCCGUGGCGAAGGCGGCUCUCUGGGACGGUACUGACGCUGAGGUGCGAAAGCGUGGGGAGCAAACAGG